GGGGAAUCUUCCGCAAUGGGCGAAAGCCUGACGGAGCAAUACCGCGUGAGGGAGGAAGGCUCUUGGGUUGUAAACCUCUUUUCUCAGGGAAGAACACAAUGACGGUACCUGAGGAAUCAGCAUCGGCUAACUCCGUGCCAGCAGCCGCGGUAAUACGGAGGAUGCAAGCGUUAUCCGGAAUGAUUGGGCGUAAAGCGUCCGCAGGUGGCUUUGCAAGUCUGCUGUCAAAGCUCAGGGCUUAACCCUGAAUCGGCGGUGGAAACUGAAAAGCUAGAGUGCGGUAGGGGUAGAGGGAAUUCCCAGUGUAGCGGUGAAAUGCGUAGAGAUUGGGAAGAACACCAGUGGCGAAAGCGCUCUGCUAGACCGCAACUGACACUCAUGGACGAAAGCUAGGGGAGCGAAUGGGAUUAGAUACCCCAG
rnacentral:rRNA from 1 species